UAGUAGCGUAUAUUAAUGUUGUUGCAGUUAAAAAGCUCGUAGUUGAAACUUGAAUAUUGUAAUAAGUUUGGUUUUCUAGUUUACUAGUAUAACUACUUAUUCGUAUUCUUCCUACUAGUAACUCGAUUCGGUUCUUAAUUGAAUUGGAUAGCAUUCCUUCGGGGGUGUCGGUACAUAUGAAUAGCUCCACCAUCUAUGUGGAUAGACGUAAAAAUCUUGAAAUAUAAUGAGUGGAUCAAGUUAAUUGUGUGAAUUGGAGUUCUAGUUCAUUUACUUUGAGAAAAUUAGAGUGUUUAAAGCAGCCUCUUGGGGCUCUGAAUACAUUAGCAUGGGAUAAUAGAAUAGGAUUUCAAUCAUAUCUUUGUUGGUUUGAAUGGAUGAAAUAAUGAUUAAGAGGAACAGUUGGGGGUAUUUAUAUUGGAUGGGGAGCGGUGAAAUGCGUGGAUCCAUUCAAGAUAAACUAAAGCGAAAGCAUUUACCAAGGAUGUUUUCAUUAA
rnacentral:rRNA from 1 species